GUCAGCGUUUCAUGCCAGUAUUAAGUGCACUUCUACACAAUAAGUAAAUGAAAUAGCUACGUUCAACUCAUAUCUACGCAAAAGAAAGGACAAAGAAAGCCCUGGUCGCCGUGGCGCAUGCGCGCUACGGCCCUCGGGAGUCGCGUUACCAGCCCACGGAGGACCGGGAGCAGCCGUCAACGGCAGAGAGGCGGCACAGUCCCAGAGCGGUCCGGCGCCGCUCAGAAGACGACGGUUCCGCCUCGUCAGAGUCGCAGGAAAUGUCGUCCACGGAGCUACCGUGCCCUAAAGUUUGUCCACUUAUCUACGCACCAGUGUGCGUCGAAGACAUCAACCACGAUUACCACUUGUUCGAUGAUGAGUGUGAGGUGCGCAAGUGCGCCUGUGACACAGGGUUCGUUUACAAGUUUGUACCAAGGGAGAUGUGUAAAGGACCAAUGUCACCCUGUCCACUGCAGCCAAAAUCUUCCCGGCGUCUUGAUGUGGAGGAAGACGCUGAAAUAGAAGACUCGUCCUCCAGCGAGUAACGUCCGAGUGGCUGUCCUGACGACAAGAAAUCUUCGUAAAGUAGAAAAAUGAUUAGUGUGCUUAGAGGUACCAAGAAAAUACGAGAGCAGAAGAACUUACCUCAUGUACUCGCAACAAAACUACCUGAAUAACCUCAGCAACGUUUCUGCUUUAUUGAUUCGACCACCAAAUACAAUAAAUCAAAUCAGAUUUUAUUUUAUAUUACUUGCUAUUUACAUAAAUUUUUGUGCCCUUUUUUAUCAAUUUCUUAUUGUGUAAU